GGACGGGUGGCCGAGUGGUCGAUGGCGCACGCCUGGAAAGUGUGUAGACGUGAAAGCGUCUCGUGGGUUCGAAUCCCACCCCGUCCGCCA
rnacentral:tRNA from 4 species